GCGAAAUGAAAGCUAAGGGAUAUCUUGCUUUGCAGGCCCUUGAAAAAGACCUUUAUUCAAUGUCUCUUCUAGACAGGAACCCAAAUGAACAUUGAAUUUUACAUUUCUCCCUAUCAAGUUUUGGAAGCAGAACUAAAUAAUGGUUCCCAGGUAUGCGGAACAAAAACAGCUGUAACUGUUGAAGGCACGGAUACACUCCACAAACUGCCUCUUUCUCCAUUAAUUGUAGAUCCU